UCGGUCAGACUUGCCCACGAUGUAAAAAAGUAAUCUAACAUCGUUUUACGAAAAUACCGAUUUAAAUGUAUGUCAUUAACACCAGUUCUUAAAAUGACCGGUGUUAAAAGUUUAGUUCGAAAAUUUGCGGGAACCUAUUUUUGCAAAAAAACGCUAAGUUUUUAAGUGAAAUGAAGAAGCGGGGACUAAAACUCAAAACUUUCACACUUAGAAAAAAAAUUGCGCCCAAAUAGAAACAGAUGGAAAACCCUAAUGUUACUCUCCCUCGACCUCCUUCAUUCUGAACUCCUCCCAAACUAGAUCUCCUCCCAAACUCGACCUCCAUUCUGGACCCUAAGCUCACUCGAACUCGCCGCCAUUCUGGAGCUCCUCAUUGCUUCCUUCAUCUCCCUCUCUCUCCCUCCCUAGUUUCACAGGUAGCUAGCUCACACAAAUCGAGCCAUGGCUCCUCCCAGUAUUCUCGGUCCUCCCGAGUUCCACAAACCCUCACCCACCACCACCGCUCCGCGCGCCACCCCAACCCAAAUCCAAACCCGACUCCAAACCCACCACCGGCGAAUCCUUCGUGGACCUGAUGGUGGCGAAUUUCAACGACGUCGGAACCAAGCACGACCUCCCAAUGGGCCUGACGGAGAACGACUCUGCCACGUUUCUCUCCACCGGCAACCCCUGCCUCGAUCUCUUCUUCCACGUCAUCCCAAACACUCCAGGCGACUACCUCACGUCCUCACCGAUGGGACUCCAAUGGUGGCCAGUGUCGUGUCACUGGAUUCUUCCUUUAUCGCAAUCACUUCAUCUUCUUCACCUUCAUAUUCUUCUUCGUUUUUAACGAAACUAAGGCACGCGCCGAGUCUGUGACUUUGUUUUGCAGUCACGCCCUUGAGUGGGAAGAAGCACAUGGCUCACACAAUUGCUCACAUCACUCUCGGCCUCACUCAGAUUUCUUCUGUCUUUGAAGCCCCAAAGUGAUGUUCUACAGGUAGAGGUUCUGGGCUGUUGGUUGGGCUGAUUGGGAAAAGGUGAAGUUUUCAAAGGUUGAAUUGCUCCCAAAAGGCUUGGAAAUCCGGACUGAAGUUUUCAAAGGUGAACUUUUUUAUUUUUUGCGUAUCUUGAACGAGGUUGAGUAUGUUAUACUGUUUCCACUCAAUAUUUGGAGUGCGAAAUCUUGCCAAUGUUCUCACACCUGGUUCAUUUUAGCUUUACUAUUGCCAUUUUGGUGGGCCAUACUUGUAAUUUUUAUGUUGAUUGAGUUAUAUCUAGUAUUGCUAUGUGCUUGCUUCCUCGAAGGCUUGGAAAUCCGGUUUCAAUUGCUCGCAACAGGAUUGGAAAUCUGGUUUCUUUCACAGAAGAUUUUCCUCUGCUGAACUUGCUACGAGGACUGGUAUAAUCUAGGUGGUUUUCAGGUAGGAGGUGGGAUCAAUUCAGAUAAUUCUUUGCAAUACAUAGAAGAAGGGGCUACCCACGUCAUUGUCACUUCUUAUGUAUUUAAUAAUGGGCAAAACCUUGAAAGGCUUAAAGAUCUUGUUCGUGUUGUUGGAAAAGAAAGGCUUGUUUUAGACCUUAGCUGUAGAAAGAGGGAAGGUAAAUAUGCAAUUGUCACAGAUAGAUGGCAAAAGUUCAGUGACGUGUAUCUUGACAAGGAAAUAUUAGACUUCAUUGCCAAGUAUGCAGACGAGUUUCUGGUACAUGGUGUCGAUGUGGAAGGGAAAAAGUAAGUCAUUUUUAUUGCCAUACAUGUUUCUUUACACAAUACAUAUGCUUACAUAAGUGCGGCAGAAAUAUAGAUAUUUAAAUAAAUGCUCAUGAAAACCAUUUCCUUGUGCGAGUCUUUUUUUAUAUUUUGUCUGUUUCUUUAUAUGGUCACACUCUUUUUGUUGUUAUCAAGAAAACAUAUUUUACCAAUAAAUUAGAAUAGUUGAGGAAAUUUGGUGGAUUCCCGAAUUAUAAAUUACUACUGAUUUUACUACUGUUCAGAACAUAGUGUAUAUGUUCUUUGGUUUACCAAGAGUCGAAGUAGUUUAGAUUGAAAAGAUUUGGCUUAUUGCUGCUUUUUCCGUUAGUUUUAGGCAGUGUUUGGUGAGACUUCUUCUGAUAAUCAACUAGCAGAAGAACAUAUGUAUAGCUGGUUUGACUUUUGAAGAUGAUCCAGUCGAUAAAAGUGAAAAGCUGGAACGAGAUGGGAAACAAUGGGUUGAUAUGUGCUCUUCAAGGUGUUAUGUACCCAGAGUGCAUGAUAAUGUCCUGCUGCAAAAGUGGCUAUGUGAGAAUAAUACAAAACGUUUUCUUUAGCAUAAUUUACCCCAACCUAACACUGGCUGACCUGAAUAAAGAACUGUUCAGUAAUUGGUGCUAGGGUAGGUAUUCACAAUCUGGUCAGUUCAAGUGUGUUUAUUAUACAAAUAAAUAAAAGCACAUUUAUGUAGAUUAUGUUAAAUUUCUACUUGUUUCUGACUAUAUCAGGAGCUCAGUUAAGGCCCUGGAAGUCUCUCAUUUUGCUAGUUACUGAUGUCACUGAAAACAUGUGCAUAUAAGUAUACCAUUUUUCUUGUGCUCCUUGAAUCCUGUUUUCUUUUUCUUUUUCUUUUUAUGGAGAAGAGUGCUCCUUGAAUCCUUAAGCCUGAUACUCUUAACUUUCAUUUUAUCUUGUGCUUUACAGAUUAUGAAAAUAAUGUUU